UCCCUGGUGGCUUAGAUGGUAAAGAAUCUGCCUGCAACCCAGGAGUCCUGGGUUUGAUCCCUGGCUUGGGAU
rfam:Ovis aries breed Texel chromosome 1, whole genome shotgun sequence.